rnacentral:rRNA from 1 species
GAAACUGCCUGAUGGAGGGGGAUAACUACUGGAAACGGUAGCUAAUACCGCAAACGUCGCAAGACCAAAGAGGGGGACCUUCGGGCCUCUUGCCAUCAGAUGUGCCCAGAUGGGAUUAGCUAGUAGGUGGGGUAAUGGCUCACCUAGGCGACGAUCCCUAGCUGGUCUGAGAGGAUGACCAGCCACACUGGAACUGAGACACGG